CCGCCCCCGGCGCCGCGCGGGAAACGCUGGCGGCCGCUCGUACCCUACCAGGCGCUCUGCCCCGCCGUGGGGUUUUGGGGGUGCUGUGGAGAAGGCAGGGCUCGGGACUCUUCCACCUCCUUGGCUGCUCUGGCCUUUGAGUUAUGCUCUAAGAUUAUCGAUUACUUUUCCGUUGUUGCUUAUUUCCCACAGCAGCAGAAUGAGAACGGUUAUUAGUUAAUAGCCAUCAGAGACAGACCAAGUGGAACACAGUCCUCGGAAAAACGCCACUCUGUAGCAUUAGUAAUUAAAACCUCACAAGACUUCUCAGUCCUUUAUGUGGAGCUGGGGGCAGGAAGAAUUGCUUCUGGAAGCUGAUGGAGUUGGACAUGUGGCUUUCUAGAAUCUGUGCCCAGCUUGUCAAGAAGUUGAAUCGGUGCAACCAGCGUUUGUGAAAGCAGCAUUUCCCAUUUCACAUAAAGUCAGCUUCUGGCCAACUGGACAAGUCUGAACAAAUAUGAAACCCACUAAAAGGCCAGUGACAGGUGCACACACUACUGACUCUGGCUAGAGGCUGUGGCAGGAAUUGGACUCAUGUCAUCCAGCGACAGUUCCACCAGCAUCUCUUGUGGCUUCCCAAGGACCAGCCUGAGGCAAACUCCUCAGUGGUGUGAAGACUUUCCAUGUCACUGGAAACCCACCACAGAGUUCUACCAAGUAACCAUGCCUCCACCAGUCCACAACAAACUUUUAAGGCCUCUCCAGUUAUGCCUGCAACCAUCCCACAUUAGCAACCUAAGUAGGCCACCAGUAGAGCUGGUCAAGAGAAAGGAUAGGUUCAAUUAAUUAUUUUUUAAUUAAAAAAAAAUAGAGACAGGGUCUUGUUAUGUUGCCGAGGCUGGUCUUGUACUCCUGAGCUGAAAUUAUCUUCCCGCCUCAGUCUCCCAAAGUGCUGAGAUUACAGGUGUGAGCCACCGUACUCAGCCAGAUAGAUUCAAUUUUUAAAACUUUAUUGCCAUUACUGUUCAGUAACCCCUUGAUAUGGUUGAAUAUUUGUCCCCUCCAAAACUUAUGCUGAUAUCUAAUCCCCAAUGUGACACUAUUGAGAGCUGGGGCUUUUAAGAUGUGAUUAGGUCAUGAGGGCUCCACCUUCUGAAUGGAUUAAUCCAUUCAUGGAUUAAUGAGUUCAUGGGUUAAUAGAUUAAUUUAUCUUGGGAGUGGGAUUAGUGGUUUUAUAAGAAGAGUGAGACCUCAGCUAGCAUAUUAGCACUCAGCUCCCUUGGCAUGUGAUACCACCUUGGGACUCUGCAGAGAGUUCCACCAGCAAGGCCUGUACCAGAUGCAGCCCCUUGACCUUGAACUUUUCAGCUUCCAGAACUGUAAGAAAUAGGCCAGGCAUAGUGGUUUACACCUGUCAUCCCACCACUCUGAGAGGCCAAGGCCAGUGGAUUGCUUGAGCCCAGGAGUUUGAGGCUUCAGUGAGCUAUGAUCAUGCCAUUGCACUCCAACCCAGCCUGGGCAACAGAACAAAACUCAGUCUCAAAAAAAAAAAAAAAAAAAAAAAAAAAAAAAGAAGAAGAAGCCAGAUACAAAAGAAUACAUUCUGUAUGACUCCAUUUAUUAGAAGUUCAAGGCCAGAUGUAGUGGCUCACACCUGUAAUCCUAACACUUUGGGAGGCCAACACAGGAAGAUCACUUAAGCUCAGGAGUUUGAGACCAGCCUGGGCAACAUAGUGAGACUCCAUGUCUAUUAAAACAAAAAAGUUCAAGGAGAAUCCAAAUUAAUGGAUGUGGAUAGAAAUCAAAGUGGCGAUUCCUCUUCAGAAGUGAAGACUGACUGAUAGGAGAAAUGAGAGAACUUUCUGAGUGAUGAAGGUGUUUUAUAUCUAGAUUGGAGAGUUGGUUACACAAGCGUAUAUAUUUGUCAAAAGUCAUCAAAUUGCACACAUAUUAUUUCACAGUAUGUAUGUUUUACCUUAAAUAAAAAUGUUUUGGCCAGGCACAGUGGCUUACACCUAUAACCCCAGCACUUUGGGAGGCCACAGCAGGAGGAUCUCUUGAGCACAGGAGUUUGAGACCAGCCUGGGCAAUAUAGUGAGCCCUCAUCUCUACUAAUGAAAUAAAAUAAAAUAUAACAUAAAAUAGCCACGCGUGGUGAUGCAGGCCUGUGGUCCCAGCUACUCAGGAGGUUGGGGUAUGAGGACCGUUUCAGCCUGGGAGGUCAAGGCUGCAGUGAACUGUGAUGAUGCUACUGCAUUCCAGUCUGAGUGACACAGUGAGACCCUGUCUCCAGAAAUAAAACAAGACACAACAAAAAAAGUGUUGUAUACUUUUUUUUUUUAAUUUAGAAGAGAAGAGCCAGGCACAGUGGCUCACGGCUGUAAUCCCGACACUCUGGGAGACCAAGGCAAGAGGACUGCUUGAGCUCAG
rnacentral:lncRNA from 10 species